rnacentral:rRNA from 1 species
UUCCGGUUGAUCCCGCCGGACCCCACUGCUAUCGAGAUGGGACUAAGGUAUGCUAGUCGAACGACCAGAACUAUGUCUGGAAGUGGCACACUGCUCAGUAACACGUAGCUAACCUACCCUUAGGACGUGGAUACCCCCGAGAAAUUGGGGUUAAUCCGCGAUAGGUGUAAUGUCCUGGAAUGGUAUUACGCCUAAAGGUGUAUCAUACAUGUUUGAUAUACGCCUAAGGAUGGGGCUGCGGCCGAUCAGGCUGUUGGUGAGGUAAUGGCUCACCAAACCUUUGACCGGUACGGGCCAUGAGAGUGGUAGCCCGGAGAUGGACACUGAGACAAGGGUCCAGGCCCUAAGGGGCGCAGCAACCGCGAAACCUCCACAAUGCACUCACGUGCGAUGGGGCUAUCUCGAGUGCCACCUGAUGAAGGUGGCUUUUCCUAGGUCUUCAAAGCCUUGGGAAUAAGAGGGGGGCAAGACUGGUGUCAGCCGCCGCGGUAACACCAGCCCCUCGAGUGGUGGGGAUGAUUAUUUGGCCUAAAGCGUCCGUAGCCGGCCGAGCAAGUCUUCCGUUAAAUCCAGCGUCUCAAGCGUUGGACUGCGGGAGAUACUACACGGCUAGAGAGUGGGAGAGGUCAGCGGUAUUCUGGGGGUAGGGGCGAAAUCCUUUGAUCCCCGGAGGACCACCAGUGGCGAAGGCUGCUGACUAGAACACGUCUGACGGUCAG